GAAGGACAAGAGAAAGUCAGCUCUUCCUGAGUCAGUAUGAGUGGACUUUAUCUAACACAUCACAGGUGUGUAUGGCCCAGGUUAGGUAGAACAUGCUUAUUAUGUGACCUGCCAUCAACUCAAGACUUGCCAGGCUUAGGCUCUGAAAGUGGAGAAGGCAAUGGCAACCCACUCCAGUGUUCUUGCCUGGAGAAUCCCAGGGACAGCAGAGCCUGGUGGGCUGCCAUCUACAGGGUCGCACAGAGUCGGACACGACUGAAGCGACUUAGCAGCAGCAGCAGGCUCUGAAAGAAAACUUCACUGAGGCUGAAAAUGGUUGCCUGGAUCAUGGAUGUAAUGGCAACCAUGGGUAACCUUGAAGAUGGAGGCCUCAUGCUGAGAAUGGGGAAGCAGGAAGACAGAGAAGCCUGGGUUUCUAACGACAGUACCAACAUGGACUCCUGUCUCUGGUCUUUUUCAUGAGAGAGAAUAGUAAACAUAUGUUCACUUAAGCCAUUAUGUGCAACUGAGAAGAGCCGUUCUGAUCCACCUCCCAGUCCUGCUGUUCCUUUUAUUUCCUUGAAGUUCACUAAACCAAAUUGUAUUAUCAUAGAACAAGGGCCUCGUGUACCAUACUACUCUUGCCAGUGUGCCUCUUUCCACCCAACUCUGACAACAGCACACUCCCAGAACUCACUCACCAAAUUUACAGUUAUUAAUCUUGCUGUAGAGCAAACCCAUGGGGAUGUUCCAGCCAGCGGUUCUGUCUACUGCAGUGUGGCAGGACUUCUUGCCUUUCAGAUUGUUCCAGUUGAUAUCAGCAUCUGAUUUUUUAACCACAGCCACA